GCACAAGCAGUGGAGUAUGUGGUUUAAUUCGAAGCAACGCGAAGAACCUUACCAGGUCUUGACAUCCAACUAACGAAGUAGAGAUACAUUAGGUGCCCUUCGGGGAAAGUUGAGACAGGUGGUGCAUGGUUGUCGUCGGCUCGUGUCGUGAGAUGUUGGGUUAAGUCCCGCAACGAGCGCAACCCUUGCUAUUAGUUGCUACGCAAGGGCACUCUAAUAGGACUGCCGUUGACAAA
rnacentral:rRNA from 1 species